GAUGAACGCUGGCGGCGUGCCUAAUACAUGCAAGUCGAGCGAACAGACGAGGAUCUUGCUCCUCUGACGUUAGCGGCGGACGGGUGAGUAACACGUGGAUAACCUACCUAUAAGACUGGGAUAACUUCGGGAAACCGGAGCUAAUACCGGAUAAUAUAUUGAACCGCAUGGUUCAAUAGUGAAAGAGGUUUUUGCUGUAACUUAUAGAUGGAUCCUCGCCGCAUUAGCUAGUUGGUAAGGUAACGGCUUACCAAGGCAACGAUGCGUAGCCGACCUGAGAGGGUGAUCGGCCACACUGGAACUGAGACACGGCCCAGACUCCUACGGGAGGCAGCAGUAGGGAAUCUUCCGCAAUGGGCGAAAGCCUGACGGAGCAACGCCGCGUGAGUGAUGAAGGUCUUCGGAUCGUAAAACUCUGUUAUUAGGGAAGAACAAAUGUGUAAGUAACUAUGCACGUAUUGACGGUACCUAAUCAGAAAGCCACGGCUAACUACGUG
rnacentral:rRNA from 1 species